rnacentral:rRNA from 1 species
GAUGAACGCUGGCGGCGUGCCUAAUACAUGCAAGUCGAGCGAACGGGCGCGACGCUUGCUUCUCUGAUGUUAGCGGAGCACGUGUGAGUCACACGUGUAUAACCUCCCUAUCAUACUGGGAUCACUUCGAAACACCGGCGCAAAUACCGGAUAAUAUUCUGCACCGCAUGGUUCAAAAGUGACAGACGGUCUUGCUGUAACUUCUAGCUGGAUCCGCGCUGCAUUAGCUAGUUGUUAAGGUAACGGCUUACCACGGCGACGAUGCAUAGCCGACCUGAGAGACUGAUCGGCCACACGGGAACGGAAACGCGGACCAGACUCCUAAGAGAGGCAGCAGUAGCGAAGCUUCGGCAAGUGGCGAAAGCCUGACGGAGCAACGCCGCGCGAGUGAUGAAGGUCUUCGGAUCGUAAAGCUCUGUUAUUAGGGAAGAACAUAUGUGGAAUGAACUGAGGUGAGCGUGACGGUACCGAAUCAGAAAGCCACGGCUAACUACGUG